GACGAACGCUGGCGGCGCGCCUAACACAUGCAAGUCGAACGAGCGAGAGGGAGCUUGCUUUCUCGAGCGAGUGGCGAACGGGUGAGUAACGCGUGAGGAACCUGCCUCAAAGAGGGGGACAACAGUUGGAAACGACUGCUAAUACCGCAUAAGCCCACGGUGCCGCAUGGCACAGAGGGAAAAGGAGCAAUCCGCUUUGAGAUGGCCUCGCGUCCGAUUAGCUAGUUGGUGAGGUAAUGGCCCACCAAGGCGACGAUCGGUAGCCGGACUGAGAGGUUGAACGGCCACAUUGGGACUGAGACACGGCCCAGACUCCUACGGGAGGCAGCAGUGGGGAAUAUUGCACAAUGGGGGAAACCCUGAUGCAGCGACGCCGCGUGGAGGAAGAAGGUCUUCGGAUUGUAAACUCCUGUUGUUGGGGAGAUAAUGACGGUACCCAACAAGGAAGUGACGGCUAACUACGUG
rnacentral:rRNA from 1 species